AUUGAUUUAAACUAUUUCCAUAACUUACCCAAAGCCUGUACCCCAUUGUAUCUAGGAAGUAACUAACUUGCUUUUGAUUUUACAGUCUCAUAGGUGGAAGUGACUUGCCUUGUCUCAGACAAGACGUUGGACUGUGGACUUUGAGUUAAUGCUGAAAUGAGUUAAAGAAAGAAGCACCUGCAAAAAUGGCAUCAGAGGAGAUGAGGAAUAGAGUGAGAGGAAAAUAGAAUUUAGACUACUCCUAAGGCAUGGGAUCCAGGCUGGUAGCACAAGUGAAGCACAGUCUACUGGAACAACUGCUGGGCAGAAUGAGCCUAGUGAGUGUGAGCAAAACUCAAGCAGAGGUGCUGCCAUCCAUGGAAGUUUCUGGCUGGCAAAGCAACACAUGGAGGAUUCUGUGACACUUGCUCUGGAUCCCCAGUGGUGACUCAGCUGUGAUAUUUCUCUGCUGACUAGACUUUUGGAGAAGGUAACUGCCAUUGCUGCUGGUACCCCCUAUGAGAACUCACUGUGGCUUUUCUCCCUAGAGCUUCCUGUUGUUCCCAAACCCAAAGACUCCUGAGGUGACCUACAGCUUCCUCAGUCUUCACUGUAUUGAUCCAGCCACACUAACUUUGAUGCACAAAUGAAAGUGUGCCCCUCUGCAACUCUGGGGGACAUAAUCUCUUCAUCUGGAUAACACAAGGACUCUACCUAGGAAUCAGGCAGAGCCCCCACAGCAGUCUUAGGAAAUGGAUGUCUGGCUUGUCUUUGUAGUCUUGCUGUCUCUUCUGUCACCUGUCCUAAAACCAUUUGCUCAUGAGGCUUGUGCACAGAGAAACUUGGGGUGGGGCUGGGGCUAGACUGAUCAGUGCAUUGGAUAAAACCAGUCUCUGAAACCUAGUUUUGUUUCAGGAACACCAUCCUUCUGAAAAAAGUCAAUGGUAAUACUGUAGUCUGAAGCAAAUACCAAUUAAAUUAAC
rnacentral:lncRNA from 10 species